UCAAUCAUUAUUGUUCAAUACCUUCAGCUAAUUUGAUAGUCUUUAUGAAGAAUGAAUUUAACAAUUUUACCAAUUGAGUUUUGAGUUUUGUAGCUAAAGAAUGACAAUUGAAAGCUGAGGAACAUAUGGGAUCCAAAAGCUACUUUCUGGGGAUGUGGUUUUCUAGGCCGAGAAUACAGCGGAAGGCAAGGUGUGACAAUCAUGAGAUGCAGAAUCUCCAGGCUCUUGCUGUAAAGACCAGCAUUUGAUUUGGAUGAGUUGAAGCUCAUUGAAGCUGACUUGGAAGAAAACAUACUGGGGGCUAUUUCCAUUGUGGAUUAUGUGUCCAAGUCUUUCAAAUUAUCUAGUAUCUACUCUCCUCUCAUUUCUUUUGCUGCUUGUGUUGACUUAAACAUGUCUAGUACUUAUUUCACAUCUCAAUUAAUAGCUCUCUUCUGUGAGAGUAAAAACAAAUCUUCCUUCUUUAAAUUUGAAGAUUCUCCUGAUAUUAUGUGCAUUGUCUGACAUGCUUGGGUAUGUUGAAUCU